ACCGCCACCAUGUUGGACUGAGCAUCUUGCGCAGCUUCUGGAAAGACGGACUGACUCGCGGAGCUGAAGUGCUCUCGUAGCCGUUUCCCAUCAGGAACUCUGGCCUGAGGCACCAGGUGCGAGGCCUCUGCGUGCGGCCUUCUGUGAGCUUGUGAAACAGACCAAGCACAAAGGAAAAGAAACAGGAUCCUGCUGGCAACGGCGUGAUGACACGUUUCUGCUGACAGCUCUGAACUUUCAGGCAGAAUCUCUGUGAAUAAGUCACCGCUCCACCGCUUGUGUUCCUUUUCCUGGCUGAGGCAAUCCACAGGAGCGCAAGUCAAAAGUCAGAAGUGAGUACCACUGUCAGGUGGGCAGAUGAGAGGUGAGAUGUUUGGCCAUCCCCAGGGGCUCCUGGGCAGAAAGUCCCCCCAGCCCUAGACUUCAGCAUGGGACUGUUAGACCUCUGAGGCCUCAGACACUCUUACGUGGCAGGCUGCAUGCUCCAGGCUUCUCCCUCAAUAAUCCAUCUCUUCUUUGCGAGCUUCUGCAAAGCUGACUCUAAUAUAAAUCUGUUUUCAUUGUGUUGCUUGAUCUUCUUUCUAAGCAGAUUUCACUUUGGAAAUGUUUUGUUACCUCCUUUCAGUUGACUAUUUUUAGGCUACAAAUUCAAAAUUUAUGAACCAGCCUUUCAAUGAUUCAAGACCAAAUUUUGCUAGGGAGGUUGGAGUGAUUUUUGGGUGGUUAAAAAUGAGCAACAAACACUCUUCACCCACUAUUCUUACUGAGAAGUAAAUAAUAAUAGACAUAAAUGCGCACAGAACUCAAACAAACUGUCAACACAAAUUAAUUCUCCUGUUACACUUUGGCAGGGAAACAGAAGCAGCCAUUUGCCUUGUCUAGGUUCAGCCUCCUCCCUAGACAUUGUCUCAGAAGUUGCCAGAACACCACUGACACUGGCCACCCAUCUUCUCCGUGCUCACAUAAGGCUUAUAAGACUGAACUUGAAAAUACCCACAUGCUAAGACGUCAGUCAAAACGCUACCCCAAAGUUAUGUUAUUCAGUGACGCAGCAACAGACUCCUAGUCUUCAAAGCCGCAUUGAACCAUCUCCAAGUCACCAAAUAUUGAUGAAGCUCCUCUUAUGUAUCAGAAACUCUUUUUGAUGCUGAGAUUAGAGCUGAGAACAGGACAAACGGGGUUUCCGCUCGUAGGCUUACUUAUAUUCUGCAGAAGCUCUAGAGACAUUAAACUAGUAAACAAGUAUGAGACACUUCACAUUUUGGUGCAGGCAGCUAAGAAAAGGAACAAGGUGAUCCAAUCAAAAGUGAUUACGACUCUAGUUGUGACUUAAAAACGGAGAAACCUUUCUCCAAUCCAAAGAAGCACUACUGUAUAUCCUUUGAUAGAGAAGAUCAUUUGUCAGUACUAUCAACAAUUCUACAUUGAUGCAUUUUGUUCAGAACUUGCAUCCCAAUGUAAUGCUAUACAUUUCUUAAAUACUUAUGCCAUCACCAAAAGAAACACAGUGUAAAAGGAAUGUUAGCAUUUAAAACGAGUAGCUAACACAGUACUUCUCAUACACAAAGGAAAUAGUAUUUAAAAGAUAGAUGCCUACUUAACAAUCCUUGAGGGAAGACUGAAUAUUUAAAAAUCAAGAACAAACCGCAUUUUAGCCAAAAGGAGAGAUGGGUGAAGAAAACGCCCAUGGGUCCAGGUAGAUGCAGUCCAGAAGAACUCAGUUAAAAUUAGCCAGAUUACAAACACUCUGAUUUUUUGCAUAGGGAUGAAGAUGCUCUCUGAUGGGCUAUUUAGAAAAGAGGGCACUUGCAUUGUUUCAGAGGCUGAUGUGACAGUGACAGAUUUAUAGCAGAUUAAGGAGCUCAAUUUUAUUUCUUCCUCACAUCUACAUAAUGCUGACCUAUUUUUGAAGUCCAUGUCCUUAGAAAUUUUCUUGUCAGUGGCUACAGGAUAUUAGCAGUCAAGCUAUUUUAUAAAUGACAAGCUUGACUUUAUUUUUUUUCAACCCAGUGUAUUAGCCCAUUCAUCAAAAAUACACAUAAAAGGCAGUCUCGCUAGGCUGUAGAGAAAACAUACAGCAGCGUGGGUGCUGAAAAAAAAGUUCAGCUCAGCCAAAAUUCAAAAUAUUAACUCUCAAUUUUCUUGGCCACAAUUACUUACAUCUUUCUCAUCUUAAAAAAAAAAAAAUACCAAGCCUUUGACAUCAUGUAAACAAUUAAGAAAAAAAGUCCCCACAGUAUUUCUUCUAGAUACGUAAAUUGCUUUUGCUGCUUUAAGGUCCAAUUUGGGACUGUGGAAUGAGGCAACCCGGCAGUAUAUCCUAACUCAUUGAAUCUCCUCAAAAGCCCUGCAAAAGAAUUACCUUCAUCAUCAUCACCACUAUCAUCAUCGUCCUUCCCAGUCUAUAAAUUAGAAAGUUCAAGGAAUUCAUCCAGGUUCGAAGAGCUAAUGCAAGGCAGAAUGGUGAUUUUUAACUACAAGCCUUUUGACUCAAAAGUCCCAUGAAAACUCUUGACUCUUCUGCCGAGACCUCCUGAAUACUUCAUCAACCUGUCUAAAAGCACCUAACUCUCCACUCUCUAUUAGAAAUCCGUAUACAGUGCACGUAUGCCUCCCCUCUUAGCUCUGAGUAGAAUGCGUGCCUGAUGGUUCCUUGCAGUUAGGGGUUUAUUUAAAAAAGACGGAAUAACUACCACAGUCGCCACCGCUGUAAUCAGCCUGAACACUGUCUUCGAUCACAUUCUGUACCCGGGAUCGCAUGAGGUGUUUUAAAUCUUUUUUAAAAUUGAAGUCUGGUUGAUUUAUAAGGCUUUAGGUGUACAGCAAAGUGAUUCAGUCAUGCUAUGCAGGUCCAUUCUUUUUCAGAGUCUUUUCCAUUACAGGUAGUUGCAAGAUACUGAAUAUAGUUCCCUGUGCUAUAGUAGUGCUUUGUUUUCUAUCUAUUUUUUUAUACAAAAUAGAUGUAUAUCUAUUAAUCCCAAAUUCUUAAUUUAUCCCUCCUCCCUCUUCUCUCCUUGGAGUACCAUAAGUUGUUGUCUAUGUCUGUGAGCCUACUUCUAUUUUGUAAAAAAGUUCGUUUGUAUCAUUUUUUAAGAUUCCACAUGUCAGUGAUAUCAUAUGAUAUUUGCCUUUCUCUGACUUACUUCUAAGUGUUUUAAUUCAUUUUAAAAUAUAAUCCUCAAGUUAAUCCCAAGUAAUGUAAAUACCAACAGUAUUUCUAUUCUUUAAAUAGGAAAACUGAGGCUGAAGGAAGUUUCUUUUCAAGAUAACAGGACAAACACAGGAAUAAAUUUAGUAGUAUUAAGCACAUCAUAUACACAUAUACACAUAUUCUUUUCCUUUCGAGGUUACAGGAUUUUGAGUAUAGUUCCCUAUAAAAUAUAGUAGCUCCUUGAUGUUUACCUAUUUUAUAGGUAAAAAUAGCCAGACUGUGCAUAUAUCUCUAAGGUGGGGCUGAUAGGAUUUUCUGACAAAUUAGACAUGGGGGAUGAAGAAAAAGGAGUCCUUAAGGACAACACUGAGCAACUGGAUGGAUGGAGCAGCGCGUAGAGAAAGGAAGGUCAAAAGUUUAGUUUAGUUAAGAACCAACAUUUGAGACCCCUAGGAGAUAAAUGGAAGCGGUGAGUGGGCAGUUAAUUACAUGAGUCAUAAAUACCCAGACAGGACAGAAAAAUUAGGGCGCUCCCGUGAUAUGGAUUACUGAAAUCCACGAGACUGAGUGAGCUCAGCAAAAGAAUGAGUCUACACAGCGAGAAGAGCCCCAAGGGUUGACCACUGAGCCACUCCCCAGCUUAGAGAUAAGAAAGAUGUGGAACCAUCUGUAAAGGAGACAGAAUCACGGAGCAGGGAAACCAGCGGAAUGUGUGUUCCUGGAAGCUGAGUGGAGAGUGACUUCCAAAAAGGAGGCAGUGAUGACCUCGUCGGAUGCCGCUGAUGAGGCGAGCGGGACGCCACCUGAAAGCUGGUGUUGGAUUUUGCCCUGGCACUAUCCCUGGAGACUGGCCAUCCAGCUUUGCUGGCGUGAACGGGGUCGAGAUAUUUAACGGCCAUUUGAGUGACGUGUCCUCCUUCACGGGGCCCUGGGAUUUUCUCCCAAGUAUUAGUGCCAUGAAAAUAGCUGACUUGGGGGGAACCAUCGAUCGUUCUAAUUGCAGAUGUUUUUGCUCGGUAUUAAAGGAAUUCAUCUGGUUUCAA